GACGAACGCUGGCGGCGUGCUUAACACAUGCAAGUCGAACGGAAAGGCCCUGCUUUUGUGGGGUGCUCGAGUGGCGAACGGGUGAGUAACACGUGAGUAACCUGCCCUUGACUUUGGGAUAACUUCAGGAAACUGGGGCUAAUACCGGAUAGGAGCUCCUGCUGCAUGGUGGGGGUUGGAAAGUUUCGGCGGUGGGGGAUGGACUCGCGGCUUAUCAGCUUGUUGGUGGGGUAGUGGCUUACCAAGGCUUUGACGGGUAGCCGGCCUGAGAGGGUGACCGGCCACAUUGGGACUGGGAGACGGCCCAGAGUCCUACGGGAGGCAACAGUGGGGAGUAUUGCACAAGGGGCGGAAGCCUGAUGCGGUAACGCCGCGUGCGGGAUGACGGCCUUCGGGUUGUAAACCGCUUUCGCCUGUGACGAAGCGUGAGUGACGGUAAUGGGUAAAGAAGCACCGGCUAACUACGUG
rnacentral:rRNA from 1 species